rnacentral:rRNA from 1 species
AGGAUUAACGCUGGCGGCGUGCCUAACACAUGCAAGUCGAACGAGGUAGCAAUACCUAGUGGCAGACGGGUGAGUAACGCGUGGUCAACCUACCGUUGAGUGGGGGAUAACGUAGCCGGAAAGGUUAGCUAAAUACCGCAUACGUCUCCGAGGGGCAUCCCUUGGCGAUAAAAGGAGCAAUCCGCUCGAUGACGGGACCGCGUCCCAUUAGCUAGAUGGUGGGGUAACGGCCUACCAUGGCACCGAUGGGUAGCUGGUUUGAGAGAGCGACCAGCCACACUGGGACUGAGAAACGGCCCAGACUCCUACGGGAGGCAGCAGUGAGGAAUUUUCCGCAAUGGGCGCAAGCCUGACGGAGCGACGCCGCGUGUGGGAAGAAGGCCUUCGGGUCGUAAACCACUGUCGAAGGGGACGAUAAUGACGGUACCCUUGGAGGAAGCCCCGGCUAACUACGUGCCAGCAGCCGC